AACAGUUGGAAUUGAUUUCAGGGAAAAGAGAAUGAUUUAUCAGUCAAAAGGCAGAAAUCACAGAAUCCAUUUACAGCUGUGGGAUACUGCAGGACAAGAAAGUUACAUGCCUAUUGCGAAACACCCGACAUAGUAUUGUGUGGUAAUAAAGCGGAUAUGGAAGAUAAAAGGGUCAUUACUGAAUGGCGAGCUCGAGAAUUUGCCUCAUCUUAUAAACUACCGUAUUUAGAGACCAGUGCAGCGACAGGACAAAAUGUAAAUAGGGCCGUUGAAACUUUGGUAGAACGAGUAAUGAUCAGAAUAGAAACCGCCGUAGAUCGCGCUAUGCUUCCAGGAAGACGAGGUCGACCAAAAGAUUUGAACGAACACGAUUCGGUACAGUCAUCCCAAAAUUGUUCAUGCUGAUGUUAGAAUAAUCAAUUACUUGUCAGGUUAUAUCAAAUAAGAUAUUCCGACCAAAUUGGCGACAAGACAGUUUUUGAUUAAUAUUUACAAUUAUUUAUUUUUUUUUGUCACUAUUGUCGUUUUUCUUUGGCUUGGUUGUGAAAACAAAGAUUCCAAACCGAUCAGAACAGUCCAGUCCAACAAGAUGCAUUUUUUCAACUUUUCAUUCAGACCACCAGUUGGAAAUGGCAGUUUUCACGAAAAAGUAUUUGAUAAAAACGAGCAGGCUAAUUUUUUUUUGGAUUUUUCGAUUUUGUCCCAAGCGUUGAUUAUGUCUAUUUCGAAAAUGUUGAGAAAUCUGGUUUUUUCAGGAAUAUUUAUUUAAGAUCGAAGAAAUGUUAUUGCAUGAAUGUUCGACAGUUUUUUGGAAAAUUUUCACUAUUCUGACGCUCUGAAAUUGUUGAUUUGACAAUAAAACGUUUGCAGUAGCAGCAAGUACGAUGGUGGUUCAAAUAUGAAGAGGAAUUUGCCAUUGAAGCUGAAAUUUUUUACAUAAUCCAGUAAAAAUAGCUGAAAAUUGGCAGAGGCAAAAAUCCCCUUCGAUAUUAUUUCUGCAAAAAAUUUUAUUCAAGGUUAAAAGUACAAAAUUGUUAUCGUGAAAAUAAGUUAGUUAAAAGUUGUAGAU